GUUUGAUCCUGGCUCAGGACGAACGCUGGCGGCGCGCCUAACACAUGCAAGUCGAACGGAGCUUAGAGAGCUUGCUUUUUAAGCUUAGUGGCGAACGGGUGAGUAACGCGUGAGUAACCUGCCCUAGAGUGGGGGACAACAGUUGGAAACGACUGCUAAUACCGCAUAAGCCCACGGUACCGCAUGGUACUGAGGGAAAAGGAUUUAUUCGCUUUAGGAUGGACUCGCGUCCAAUUAGCUAGUUGGUGAGGUAACGGCCCACCAAGGCGACGAUUGGUAGCCGGACUGAGAGGUUGAACGGCCACAUUGGGACUGAGACACGGCCCAGACUCCUACGGGAGGCAGCAGUGGGGGAUAUUGCACAAUGGGGGAAACCCUGAUGCAGCGACGCCGCGUGGAGGAAGAAGGUUUUCGGAUUGUAAACUCCUGUCGUUAGGGACGAUAAUGACGGUACCUAACAAGAAAGCACCGGCUAACUACGUGCCAGCAGCCGCGGUAAAACGUAGGGUGCAAGCGUUGUCCGGAAUUACUGGGUGUAAAGGGAGCGCAGGCGGGAAGACAAGUUGGAAGUGAAAACCAUGGGCUCAACCCAUGAAUUGCUUUCAAAACUGUUUUUCUUGAGUAGUGCAGAGGUAGAUGGAAUUCCCGGUGUAGCGGUGGAAUGCGUAGAUAUCGGGAGGAACACCAGUGGCGAAGGCGGCCUACUGGGCACCAACUGACGCUGAGGCUCGAAAGUGUGGGUAGCAAACAGGAUUAGAUACCCUGGUAGUCCACACCGUAAACGAUGAUUACUAGGUGUUGGAGGAUUGACCCCUUCAGUGCCGCAGUUAACACAAUAAGUAAUCCACCUGGGGAGUACGACCGCAAGGUUGAAACUCAAAGGAAUUGACGGGGGCCCGCACAAGCG
rnacentral:rRNA from 1 species